CUGCAACCCUUCAUCGAUAGGUUCGCAGGCAGACUACCAGGAUGGAAGGGAAAGCUUCUCAACAAGCCUGGCAGGGUGGCACUCGCUCAGUCUGUCCUCACGGCCAUGGCCACCUUCCACAUCACAGCUCUCAACUUGUCGAAGGGGACUCUUAGAAAGAUCGACAAAAUCAUUCGGGCCUUCAUCUGGCAAAAAGAAGACCAAACUCAGACCCUCCGGAGGCCACUCCCUUGUUAA
rnacentral:rRNA from 1 species